rnacentral:pre_miRNA from 1 species
AAAAGAAAAGACAAAUCAGCAUGUCAGUUGAUGCAGUUGCGCCUGUGAACUGUGCAUGUGUGAUCUGCAACCUGCCUCAGUUGACAUGCUGAUUUGUCUUUUGUUU